UAACUGAAGAGUUUGAUCAUGGCUCAGAUUGAACGCUGGCGGCAGGCUUAACACAUGCAAGUCGAGCGGCAGCACGGGGAGCUUGCUCCCUGGUGGCGAGCGGCGGACGGGUGAGUAAUGCAUAGGAAUCUGCCCGGUAGUGGGGGAUAACCUGGGGAAACCCAGGCUAAUACCGCAUACGUC
rfam:Halomonas ilicicola DSM 19980 genome assembly, contig: EJ56DRAFT_scaffold00005.5